GCGAGGCCAAGAAUCCAGACAUCAAUGACAAGAACCCAGACUGCUCAUCUCCGAAGAGGAAGAGCAGAAAAAGGAAAAAAAAAACUCUCCGGUGACGCUGGUCAAAACCAGACCUCUGAGGAAAAGAGGAAAAGUGUCUGAUUAGAAAUCCAGACUGCAGCUCCUCCACAGAGGAAAAGGAUGAAGACGAGCCUGGAUUGAGGGUGCACCUUCACGUGCAGCGCCAGGCCACCAGAGCCAUGGCGGACGACAGAGGCCAAUGGAGGCCAAUGGAGGCCAAUGGAGGCCAACACAGGACAAAAGAGCCAGAGGGACAAAGGAUCAGGGUAAUAUCAGGUCAUCAGGAGGUUUGUUGGUCUUUAGUAACGCCUGC